rnacentral:rRNA from 1 species
UACGUAGGGGGCUAGCGUUGUCCGGAAUCAUUGGGCGUAAAGCGCGCGUAGGCGGCCCGGUAAGUCCGCUGUAAAAGUCAAAGGCUUAACCUUUGAAUGUCAGUGGAUACUGCUGUGGCUUGAGUCCGGUAGGGGAGCGUGGAAUUCCUGGUGUAGCGGUGAAAUGCGCAGAUAUCAGGAGGAACACCGGUGGCGAAGGCGGCGCUCUGGGCCGGUACUGACGCUGAGGAGCGAAAGCGUGGGGAGCAAACAGG